AAGUUGAUCUGGUGCCUUGGUCACUCGUGGCUUCUUUCUUCUAUGCCAGCUCUGUCUUCUCUACACUUCCUCUGGAGGAGUAGGCCUUGACACAAUUACAAGAAGUCAGGGACCCUGAACAGAGGGACCAGCUGAAGUCACAGCAGAAGAACAUAAAUUGUGAAGAUUUCAUGGACAUUUAUUAGUUCCCCAAAUUAAUACU
rnacentral:lncRNA from 1 species